CCUACGGGUGGCAGCAGUGGGGAAUAUUGCACAAUGGGGGAAACCCUGAUGCAGCGACGCCGCGUGAGUGAUGAAGUAAUUCGGUAUGUAAAGCUCUAUCAGCAGGGAAGAAAAUGACGGUACCUGAGUAAGAAGCCCCGGCUAACUACGUGCCAGCAGCCGCGGUAAUACGGAGGGGGCAAGCGUUAUCCGGAUUUACUGGGUGUAAAGGGAGCGUAGACGGAAGUGCAAGUCUGGAGUGAAAGGCGGGGGCUCAACCCCAGGACUGCACUUGAAACUGUACGGCUGGAGUACAGGAGAGGUAAGUGGAAUUCGUGGUGUAGCGGUGAAAUGCGUAGAUAUUAGGAGGAACACCAGUGGCGAAGGCGGCUUACUGGACUGUAACUGACGUUGAGGCUCGAAAGUGUGGGGAGCAAACAGGAUUAGAUACCCCUGUAGUC
rnacentral:rRNA from 1 species